AAUGCCAGGUCGAAUUCCAUGGGCUAUAUUUUCAAAAGUUGUGCUAUGCUGUGUAUAUAUUUUUUAUUUUUUAGUCCAAUAGCUAUAUUUGUAAUUAAUGAAUAUUUGUUCAACAUAAUUUAAGUGAAAUUGUAUUAUGUUUUGGUAUUGUACUUUUUUUUUUUUAAAGUGAAAUUCUAUCAUGUUUUGGAAUUUAAAUGUUUUUAGGUUAAAAUGUUCAGAAAAUUAAAUCACAAAUAUUGAAACAAAAAUAAUGUCAAGAAAAAUGAACGAGAACAAAAAAAAUUAAGGGUUAAUCAUUCUUAAACAAUUUAAUAA
rnacentral:lncRNA from 1 species